rnacentral:rRNA from 1 species
CAGCAGCCGCGGUAAUACGGAGGGGGCUAGCGUUGUUCGGAAUUACUGGGCGUAAAGCGCACGUAGGCGGCUUUGUAAGUUAGAGGUGAAAGCCUGGGGCUCAACUCCAGAAUUGCCUUUAAGACUGCAUCGCUUGAACGUCGGAGAGGUGAGUGGAAUUCCGAGUGUAGAGGUGAAAUUCGUAGAUAUUCGGAAGAACACCAGUGGCGAAGGUGGCUCACUGGACGACUGUUGACGCUGAGGUGCGAAAGCGUGGGGAGCAAACAGGAUUAGAUACCCCUGUAGUCCCUGUCUCUUAUAC